rnacentral:rRNA from 1 species
UGGGGAAUAUUGGACAAUGGGCGAAAGCCUGAUCCAGCCAUGCCGCGUGUGUGAAGAAGGCCUUUUGGUUGUAAAGCACUUUAAGUGGGGAGGAAAAGCUUAUGGUUAAUACCCAUAAGCCCUGACGUUACCCACAGAAUAAGCACCGGCUAACUCUGUGCCAGCAGCCGCGGUAAUACAGAGGGUGCAAGCGUUAAUCGGAAUUACUGGGCGUAAAGCGCGCGUAGGUGGUUAUUUAAGUCAGAUGUGAAAGCCCCGGGCUUAACCUGGGAACUGCAUCUGAUACUGGAUAACUAGAGUAGGUGAGAGGGGAGUAGAAUUCCAGGUGUAGCGGUGAAAUGCGUAGAGAUCUGGAGGAAUACCGAUGGCGAAGGCAGCUCCCUGGCAUCAUACUGACACUGAGGUGCGAAAGCGUGGGUAGCAAACAGGAUUAGAUACCCUGGUAGUCCACGCCGUAAACGAUGUCUACCAGUCGUUGGGUCUUUUAAAGACUUAGUGACGCAGUUAACGCAAUAAGUAGACCGCCUGGGGAGCACGGCCGCAAGGUUA